AGACGGGGCCCGGCACAAGCGGUGGAGCAUGUGGUUUAAUUCGAUGCAACGCGCAGAACCUUACCUGGUCUUGACAUCCCGGGAAUUCCUUGAAAGAGGGAAGUGCCUCGCAAGAGGAGCCUGGAGACAGGUGCUGCAUGGCUGUCGUCAGCUCGUGUCGUGAGAUGUUGGGUUAAGUCCCGCAACGAGCGCAACCCUUGUCUUUAGUUGCCAUCAUUCAGUUGGGCACUCUAAAGAGACUGCCGGUGUCAAACCGGAGGAAGGUGGGGAUGACGUCAAGUCCUCAUGGCCUUUAUGACCAGGGCUACACACGUACUACAAUGGCCGGUACAAAGGGCAGCCACUUAGCGAUAAGGAGCCAAUCCCGUAAAGCCGGUCUCAGUCCGGAUUGGAGUCUGCAACUCGACUCCAUGAAGUUGGAAUCGCUAGUAAUCGCAGAUCAGCACGCUGCGGUGAAUACGUUCCCGGGCCUU
rnacentral:rRNA from 1 species